rnacentral:piRNA from 1 species
UAUACUCAGGGCAAAAGGAAAGCGAGGC